UACGGGGGGGAGCAAGCGUUGUUCGGAUUCACUGGGCUUAAAGGGCGCGUAGGCGGGUGGUCAAGUCAGGGGUGAAAUCUUUCAGCUCAACUGGAAAACAGCUUCUGAUACUGGCCAUCUUGAGGGAGGUAGGGGCAUGUGGAACUUCCGGUGGAGCGGUGAAAUGCGUAGAUAUCGGAAGGAACGCCGGUGGCGAAAGCGACGUGCUGGACCUUUUCUGACGCUGAGGCGCGAAAGCCAGGGGAGCAAAGCGGG
rnacentral:rRNA from 1 species